rnacentral:rRNA from 1 species
GAUGAACGCUGGCGGCGUGCCUAAUACAUGCAAGUCGAGCGAACAGACGAGGAGCGUGCGCCUCUGAUGUUAGCGGCGGACGGGCGAGUAACACGUGGAUAACCUACCUAUAAGACUGGGAUAACUUCGGGAAACCGGAGCUAAUACCGGCUAACAUGUUGAACCGCAUGGUUCAACAGUGCAAGACGGCUUUGCUGUCACUUAUAGACGGAUCCGGGCCGCAUUAGCUAGUUGGUAAGGUAACGGCCUACCAAGGCAACGAUGCGUAGCCGACCUGAGAGGGUGAUCGGCCACACUGGAACUGAGACACGGUCCAGACUCCUACGGGAGGCAGCAGUGGGGAAUCUUCCGCAAUGGGCGAAAGCCUGACGGAGCAACGCCGCGUGAGUGAAGAAGGUCUUCGGAUCGUAAAACUCUGUUAUUAGGGAAGAACAAAUGUGUAAGUAACUAUGCACGUCUUGACGGUACCUAAUCAGAAAGCCACGGCUAACUACGUG